rnacentral:rRNA from 1 species
CCUACGGGAGGCAGCAGUGAGGAAUAUUGGUCAAUGGCCGAGAGGCUGAACCAGCCAAGUCGCGUGAGGGAAGACGGCCCUACGGGUUGUAAACCUCUUUUGUCGGGGAGCAAAGCGAACCACGUGUGGUUCAUUGAGAGUACCCGAAGAAAAAGCAUCGGCUAACUCCGUGCCCGCAGCCGCGGUAAUACGGAGGCUUCGAGCGUUAUCCGGUUUUAUUGGGUUGAAAGGGUGCGCAGGCGGGGGUGAAAGUCAGCGGUCAAAUUGCGGGGCUCAACCCCGGACUGCCGUUGAAACUGCAUCCCUUGAGUGCGCGAGAAGUAUGCGGAAUGCGUGGUGUAGCGGUGAAAUGCAGAGAUAUCACGCAGAACUCCGAUUGCGAAGGCAGCAUACCGGCGCGCAACUGACGCUCAUGCACGAAAGCGUGGGUAUCGAACAGGAUUAGAUACCCCAGUAGUC